rnacentral:sRNA from 1 species
GGCUGGUGUGAGUUAUCGCGAUUGUUCAUAGUUACAGAUCAACCUCCUUGUUUUACUCUUUCCCCUCUUCUCUAUACUGCACUUGGCUAGUCUGUA